rnacentral:rRNA from 1 species
UACGAAGGGGGGCUAGCGUUGCUCGGAAUCACUGGGCGUAAAGCGCACGUAGGCGGGUUGCUAAGUCAGGGGUGAAAUCCUGGAGCUCAACUCCAGAACUGCCUUUGAUACUGGCGGCCUUGAGUCCGGGAGAGGUGAGUGGAACUGCGAGUGUAGAGGUGAAAUUCGUAGAUAUUCGCAAGAACACCAGUGGCGAAGGCGGCUCACUGGUCCGGUUCUGACGCUGAGGCGCGAAAAGCGUGGGGAGCAAACAGG